AGUGAACGCUGGCGGUAGGCCCAACACAUGCAAGUCGAACGGCAGCACAGUAAGAGCUUGCUCUUACGGGUGGCGAGUGGCGGACGGGUGAGGAAUACAUCGGAAUCUACUUUUUCGUGGGGGAUAACGUAGGGAAACUUACGCUAAUACCGCAUACGACCUACGGGUGAAAGCAGGGGAUCUUCGGACCUUGCGCGAUUGAAUGAGCCGAUGUCGGAUUAGCUAGUUGGCGGGGUAAAGGCCCACCAAGGCGACGAUCCGUAGCUGGUCUGAGAGGAUGAUCAGCCACACUGGAACUGAGACACGGUCCAGACUCCUACGGGAGGCAGCAGUGGGGAAUAUUGGACAAUGGGCGCAAGCCUGAUCCAGCCAUACCGCGUGGGUGAAGAAGGCCUUCGGGUUGCAAAGCCCUUUUGUUGGGAAAGAAAAGCAGCAGGUUAAUACCCCGCUGUUCUGACGGUACCCAAAGAAUAAGCACCGGCUAACUUCGUG
rnacentral:rRNA from 1 species